UCUAGACUGUUCAGUGUUCAAGCGUUCAACUGUGCUAAAAUCUGGGGCAUGCCCAUAUGAGUAAAUGCCCCCGUCCGUGUCUCGCCGCACGAUACACCCAGCUCUUGCAAAAAAUUUUCCGCUCCUCCGUUAUAAAAUAACGCUCCUAAAUUGAUAGCAUCUGUCACAUCUAGCUAGCGGGUCAGUCGCUGGGUUUUGUUGUGCCUUUUACUGUGCUUUUUUGUGUUUUGGUUCCACAUUCAAGUCUCCCGUAACCAUAUGUGGAGACGGUAUCAUUCGUUACAUGGCUAAAACACUGUUGCACCGCUUUAAGGACGCAUUGGCGUAGCGGUCCUGAUAGGUAAGCUAGGCCUACCUAACGAAGUUGCAGCGCGCUCCACACAAUCACGUUCUAGACUGUGUGUCGACACCAAAUACACCAAAUCAUCUCCUGGGACGUUUGAGGACAGUUUGGCCUAUGAAUCUCAAUACCAUGGACGUAAUAAAAAUUGGACCUUUAUGUAGGCAUCGCUGCAUGCUCGCCGGAAAACGUCGAAAAGAUCAAAAGUCCCUUAAAGAUGAUUCCGAGUUACUACUUAGACCAGUAUGUUCUUUGCUCCGACUACUUGAUUAAUUCUUUUCCCCAAUCAAGAGUACGCAUGUGAUGGUAUACAUCGAAAUGUUCAUGAAAGAAACUUCAACACCCUGUUCUACAGUAA